CUUACGGUUUCUCUUGAAACCAAAUCACAUGCUGAAUUGAAUUUAAU
rfam:Populus trichocarpa scaffold_1_contig_458, whole genome shotgun sequence.